CCUGGAUCAGCCACAAAUGUACCCCCAGUACACUUACUACUAUCCUCACUGUCUCUAAACCAAGGUGAUAUUAAUUUUGUAUCGCAUUAGCCAGACUCCACUGUCUUCUUAAUAAAUAAAUAUGCGGAGAGUGACCAAGGCGUGCCUGAGUGAUCUGUGCUGCCACCGGGACUCGUUGAUGGGAUUAGUGUUCGUCACACAGAGAGAAAGAGAGGCACAGGCAGAGGGAGAAGCAGGCUCCAUGC